UGAGGAAUAUUGGGCAAUGCCCGCAAGGGUGACCCAGCAACGCCGCGUGAAGGAUGAAGGCCGUAAGGUUGUAAACUUCUGUUAGAGGGGACGAAAGAUUUCGGUAGUACCGGGAUUUGACUGUACCCUCAGAGAAAGCCCCGGCUAACUACGUGCCAGCAGCCGCGGUAAUACGUAGGGGGCAAGCGUUGUCCGGAUUUACUGGGUGUAAAGGGCGCGCAGGCGGGUUGACAAGUCAGAGGUGAAAUCCUGCGGCUUAACUGCAGAACUGCCUUUGAAACUGUUAAUCUUGAGUACGGAAGAGAGAGACGGAAUUCCAGGUGUAGUGGUGAAAUACGUAGAUAUCUGGAAGAACACCAGUUGCGAAGGCGGUCUCUUGGUCCGUUACUGACGCUCAGGCGCGAAAGCGUGGGUAGCAAACAG
rnacentral:rRNA from 1 species